ensembl:snRNA U6 U6 spliceosomal RNA
GUGCUCACUUCAGCAGCACAUACACUAAAAUUGAAAUGAUUACAGGGAAGAUUGGCACAGUCCCCACACAUGGAUGACAUAGCGUGAACUUCAGAUUAAAGAAAUAGUC